GCUCCUGUGGCACAGUCGGUUAGCGCGUCGUACUUAUAGGCAGUGUGGGCGUGGCCCCGUGGGUGCCAUGAAAUGCGAAGGUCGAGAGUUCAAUCCUCUCCAGGAGCA
rnacentral:tRNA from 1 species